GAAGAAGCAGGAGAAGGCUGUCUUGGAGCUGAAGAGAAGGCUGCCUUUGGGCAGCGUGAGAAGGUCAGGCGCGGAACAGAAAAAUAAUUGGGGGAGAGAAGAGACUGACGCGGGGGUUGAAAGGGCAGGUCAGAAAAGAGAGCUGCCCUAGGCAGCGUGUCAGAAGGGAGAAAGGAAAGACAGUAGGUGGGAGAAGGGAACGGACAGAAAAAUAAUAGGGAGGACUGGACAGCAGCAAAAACGGAAAAAUAGGAGGGGCAAGUCAGAGGAAGAGAGGGAGGUGAGGACAGCCAAGAGAGCUCAGAGGAAAGAACAUAUAAAAAAAUUGCUUUGCGCAGCGUGACAGGGGAGGGCAGUGAGCCUCGGGGAGGAAGACAGACAGAAGCAGCAAGCACUCUCCUCUCUCGGUUAAAUCUUUCCAAACUUCUAUUUUAUUUCUGUUUUAAUAAUGUGUAAUUAAAUUUAUUUUGGCUAGAGGUUAAUUCAAAGCCAUGAAUA
rnacentral:lncRNA from 1 species